AACGAACGCUGGCGGCAUGCCUAACACAUGCAAGUCGAACGAGACCUUCGGGUCUAGUGGCGCACGGGUGCGUAACGCGUGGGAACCUGCCCUUAGGUUCGGAAUAACUCCCCGAAAGGGGUGCUAAUACCGGAUAAUGUCUUCGGACCAAAGAUCUAUCGCCUUUGGAUGGGCCCGCGUUGGAUUAGCUAGUUGGUAGGGUACAAGCCUACCAAGGCGACGAUCCAUAGCUGGUCUGAGAGGAUGAUCAGCCACACUGGGAAUGAGACACGGCCCAGACUCCUACGGGGGGCAGCAGUGGGGAAUAUUAGACAAGGGGCGAUAGCCUGAUCCAGCAAUGCCGCGGGAGUGAUGAAGGCCUUAGGGUUGUAAAGCUCUUUUACCCGGGAUGAUAAUGACAGUACCGGGAGAAGAAGCACCGGCUAACUCCGUG
rnacentral:rRNA from 1 species